rnacentral:lncRNA from 1 species
AGGGAUGAUUGAGGGAUGUUGUGGGGGGAUUUUGCAUGAGGGAGAGAAGGGUGCCAUGGGGUGUAAAAAAUGUGGUGAUUGGAGGUGGCGCCGCCGUUGAUAGCGACAUUGACAGUGUUUGAAACUUAUCUUCGAAGCAUUUGGCUAAAAUUCGAGGGCAAGUGGUUAUAGAUUGGGAUAGAGGGGUGAGGGCAAUCAGUGUUGUUAAUUUGACAAUAGAGGGGUGAGGGUAAUCAGUGUUGUUAAUUUGACAAUGAUUGGUGUUCCUCCACUGGCUAAGGCAAUUUCUUGCCGGUGGUGCACUGUGGUUAGUGGUAGCAUUAUGUUCUCUGAUGAACAUGACUUAGAGAUGGGGGUCU